rnacentral:tRNA from 1 species
AGCUAAGAAGCGAUUAUUUGCAUCAAGUUUCGGCCUUGAACUAGGUAUAAUUAUACCCUUAGUUU